AACAAAUAUACGCCAUAUGUGUACGCCAAGAACUGAGCUUGUACACCGGACUUGCCGGCAAUGAUCAUCGUUCAGCAUUGUUCCCACUCAAAACAAAUCUCUUCAUCAAGAAAUAUAUACAAUAUAUACAAUAUAUUUCUGGUGUAUCGUUUUUCAGAUUGUAUUUCAAGUCUUUCAAACCUUUGUAUGCCGCGAAGGAAAACCUCAAACCUGAUUCUUGAUCUGGAAUUUUAAAAUGUUUGUGUUGCUAUUUUAAACGCAUGCUAAUUAUCAAUUAACCAAUGAAAUAGCUUCAUUUGUCAUAAAUUAUUCAAAUAAAGCACUGUACAAUCAGAGGCCGGUCCCCAAAUCUGGAAAUUAUCCACGUGACCUGAACAAGGAUUACGCAUCCAAUUCCAUACGUUCUCUCGCGCGCUUCGUCGAGAGUAGCGGCUGUACACAGGCUAGAAUAACGGAAUAUUGUAGAGAAACGUUGUAGCUUAAAUUUAAGUAUAAGUUUGUUUGUUUUCGUAGUUUGUUGGCGGCUAAAAUUUUCCAUUAUUUUUGAAAAGAGAAAACGCACACAUUAUGCGAAAACAUUGUCAAGAUUCAUAUAAACAUGCCUGUGCCCAACAAAUUUAGGGAAAAAACGUAGUUAUUAUUAUUUUUUAAUUAUUUAUAUUAGGAAAUAACAAGAAAGUCGAUAGUAAACUGGAUUUGUUUUCGCGAGAAAUCAUGCGAAAGUGAAGCCAUCCCUCUUGGGAAAUGUUGACAACAUGUCGGAUAAAAAAAUUGGCGAAAAUUGUGAUUUUCUACUCCCGGCCUGUAAGUGGAAAUCAUGCAAGUAGUAAAAAAUACGUAAAAACAAUAAAUCUAGCGUCAUUGAUUGCAGAGCUUUAUUUUAACGGUCUAAUAUGCUCUUACCGAUCACCUUAUUUACUUUUACUUUUCUAUUCAAUUUAAUUUUUUUCGCCAAAUGUGCUUCACUAUUAUUGUGGCAAAUCGAUAGCAUUAUUUGUACGAACUGUCGAAUAUAUUUCGCACAAGUUUAUGUCAAAUCUUGUCAUCCCUCUUAUAUAUUUAUAAUUUAAGGGGGAAAUAUUACAUUGAGGGAAAUAUUACGCCGAAUCCCCCGAGCGGAGGGUUUAUAAAUGAUAUAUUAUACCGAAAGUUAAAGAACCCACCAAGUUCAGAAUAAAGUUUAAAAAUUGAAGGGA